rnacentral:lncRNA from 10 species
UUUUAUGAUCAAACUGUUUAUUCCAGGAAUGCAAGGUUAAACAUUCAACUUUCACUCAAUGUGCUUGACAAUAGUAACAGUAAAAUAGGAAAAAAAACAUUUUAAUAAAUACAGAAAAGGCACUUAAUAAAAUCUAAAUUCCAUUCAUAGUAAAAACUAAGCAAACUAAGGAUAAGAAAAUUUUCCUAAUAUCAUAAAAGGUAUCUAUAAAACACCUAACUCUAAUAUAUUAAAAGGAGAAAUAAAGGAUGACUAUUGAGGCAAAAAUCUUGAUCAAAAUACCAGUUAAAGCAUAUUGAACUGAUUUGACACCAAAACAACUGAGAUUUAUUCCUGUAAUACAAGGAUAGUUCAACAUAUGCAAAUUAAUGUCAUAGUAACAGAAUGAAAGAAAAUAAUGUUGUCAUCUCAAUUGAUACAAAAAAAGUAUUUAACAAAAUUCAGCACUUUUUCAUGAUAUAUACUAUCAACACACUAAGAACAGAAGGAAAGUAUCUCAACAUAAUAAAGACCAUAUGUACAAAGCCCACAGCUAACAUCAUAGUGAAUUGUAAAAGAAUUAAAAAC